GUACUAGCCUGCCGAUUCCUCCUUUCUUGUAGAACCGUAAUGCCAUUAAUUUGGUGUUGCGGGGAAACAGGACUGUUACUUUGAAAAAAUUAGAGUGUUUAAAGCAGGCUAGCGCCUGAAUACAUUAGCAUGGAAUAAUGAAAUGGGACGUUCGAACCUAUUUUGUUGGUUUCUAGGAUUGACGUAAUGAUUAAUAGGGAUAGUUGGGGGCAUUAGUAUUCAAUUGUCAGAGGUGAAAUUCUUGGAUUUAUUGAAGACUAACUACUGCGAAAGCAUUUACCAAGGAUGUUUUCAUUAAUCAAGAACGAAAGUUAGGGGAUCGAAGACGAUCAGAUACCGUCGUAGUCUUAACCAUAAACUAUGCCGAC
rnacentral:rRNA from 1 species